rnacentral:lncRNA from 1 species
GACAUUCCAAUUCAAUGGCACCUGACGUCAUUCCCUGGUAACAACGUGUGUUGUGGAUGCUAGGAGUGGGAGAAGGUCCAGGACAAUGGCGAUAUCAGCACAAAUGUGAUGAGUUGGAGGUGCAACAACAAGGACUUCUCCUCUCAGUCUUUUACUGUUGAGAAGGACAGGGGGCUCUAUUUAAAGUGCUCGCUGGCCCAGAAGGAGGAUGAGCUCACAGACCUGUCAGAGCAACUGGGGGGACUGCAGCUCCGUCAACUCCGCCAAGAGUUGCAGGAGAACAAGGACAAGCUCACCUUUGAGAACAUGGUUCUUGCGGGUAAGCCGGAAGCGCCGGAGGAGUCCCGUGUGCAGAAGGAGGAGCUGAUGGCCCGCCUGGAGGAGCAGCUCGGGAAGUAGAGACAGGAGCAUCACACAGUCAACUACAGCCUAGAGAGGAAGGCCAUACUGGACAGCGACAG